UACGUAGGGUCCGAGCGUUGUCCGGAGUUACUGGGCGUAAAGGGCUCGUAGGCGGCCAACUAAGUCAGACGUGAAAUCCCUCGGCUUAACCGGGGAACUGCGUCUGAUACUGGAUGGCUUGAGUUUGGGAGAGGGAUGCGGAAUUCCAGGUGUAGCGGUGAAAUGCGUAGAUAUCUGGAGGAACACCGGUGGCGAAGGCGGCAUCCUGGACCAGCACUGACGCUGAGGAGCGAAAGCCAGGGGAGCAAACGGG
rnacentral:rRNA from 1 species